UGAAAGCUGAGAUGCUGUAGAACAAUGGAGAGAACUGCCUGCGCCCCCUUGGACAGCCUUUUGUUUUCUACUACUGGAUGCUGUGCACAUUUUGGGAAACAUUGCUCUAGGUAUCUGCUGAAAAAAUAGCAGAUCUACACUGAGGCUUGAUCUAUACUAGGAGUUUAGGUCAAAAUUAACUGCAUUAGACUGAAUUCCUAAGCAAUGAGUCAACACCACCAAGUCUGUUCCAUUGACUUUAAGGGCUGCUAAAGUCGAUUUUGGUAUUUCAGCUUUUCACAAGGAGAAAUAAUAAAUUCGACUUUACAUGGUCAACUUUACGGUAGUGCAGAUGCAGUGUUGUGAAAGUUGACAUUCUUGGCCUCCAGGAGAUGUCCCACCUAACUGAAUGCCCAAGGUCACAGACAAGCACCAGCAUGGAGCAUGCCAGAGAUCCUGGACCUCAUUGCUGUGUAGGAAGAGGAAUCUGUUCUUGCAGAACUAUGAACCAGCAAUAGAAAUGCAGAUAUAUAGGUCAAGAACACAUGAAAGAGAAAGAAUACAUCAGGGAUGCCCAAGCAGUACUACAUGAAAAUAAAGGAGCUGAGGCAGCCAUACCAGAAGACAAAGAAGGUAAAUGCAUGGUCUGGAUCAUCGCCACAAACAUGUUGCUUCUAUGGGCAGCAGCAUGCCAUCCUAGGGUGGGACCUGACAAGCUUCCCAAGCCAGAGCAUGGAACCCUCCAAAGACAUUCUUUUGGUAGCCUUGGGCAGCAGCAUGGAGGACAGCAUGGAUUAGGAAGAGGAGGAGGAGAAUGGUCAGCAGUUCUGCAGGGCAACCAAUGUCACCAACAGCCAGGACCUUUUUUAUAACUUUGGAGACAAUCCCAUCCUCCCAGAACCUCUUGCAGCUGGGCACUGAUGCUGGGGAAAGCACUUUUGAUGACUUCGUGUUAAACAGAGAUUAUGCAAAAGGAGAGCUGAAAUAAGAGAAGUUGUUUCAGUAUUAACAGGGUACUUCCAAAACAGUUACAUUCUCAGUUAACUUCAAUAAAGUAGCAUAUUAACCCCACACUGGCACACUAGGGGUUAACCCAUCUGUUAGCAGAAGAGACUGUGCCCCUUCUGCUCUGCUGGGCAUGCUCCAGUUGGGACCAGAGUAUAAAAGCCUGAG